ACUACAACUCUCUCUUUUUUGGUGAUAACAUUGAUACAACUUCUUUUGUAAUUCGAAAAGUCUAUAUGCUCCCGGGGAGUAAUCCCACCGCAGACUCGUGGCAUACGUGGCAUAAUAAUCAAAAAGGUGUCGUUUUGAUUUUGACUAAAUCUCUCUCCUCUCUUGCAUUCAAUGUUGGCAUCAUUCCCGUCUUCCCUCAUCUCUCUCUUCUAUCAUCUGCCUCCCUCGAGUCUCGUAUCUCUCCUCUCUCGCAUUUAAUGUUGGCAUCAUCCUCGUCUUCCCUCAUCUCUCUCUUCUAUCAUCUGCCUCCCUCGAGUCCCGUAACUCUAAUCGGCCACUUCUCCCUCUCUUCUCCCCAUCUCUUCUCCCGUAACCCUAAUUGCCAAAUCUCCCUUUUUUCUCCCCAUCUCUUCUCCCGUAAUCUUAAUCGGCCACUUAUCCCUCUCUUCUCCCCAUCUCUUCUCCCGUAAUCCUAAUCGGCCACUUCUCCCUCUCUUAUCCCCAUCUCUUCUCCCGUACCUUAAUCGGCCAAUCUCCCUCUCUUCUCCCCCGUAACCUAAUCAGCAUUUGCCCUAAUGGCCCAAUCUCCCUCUCUUCUUCCCUGUAACCUAAUCGGCCAAAUCUCCCUCUCUUCUCCUGUAACCUAAUCGCCCAAACCUAACCCAAAUCUCUCAUCUGUCUCUUCGCUCUUGCUCUUCUCUCAACCCUGUCAUCCGUAACCUAUCUUCUCCACAUUUCUCAAACCCUAACCCUAACAUUUCUCAAACCCUAACCUUAAUAUCUCUGGCGUCCUCCCUCUCCCCCGAACCUCCAUGUUUGACAUCGUCACCUCUGUUCUUGCCUAUCGCGGUUUCUGUUUUCGACCGGUUGAAGACUAACAAGGUAGUGAAUGUCUCUCUUAUCUCCCUCAGUUAAGCUUGUGAGGUUCUUUUAAGUAGGUUUUCUUCGAUUCAUUACAAUUGUUGGGUUACAAUUUUAAGUCUGUGCGUGGGUUUCUGUUGGGUUAUAUGCCGUAGGUUUCGAUUUCAUGAUUAUGGUUGGGUUACUGUUUGUGGGCUGCUGUUGGGUUAUAUGCCGUGGGUUUUGAUUUCAUGAUUCUGGUUGGGUUAUUGAUUGUUGGUUUCUGUUGGGUUAUAUAAGUGAGUUUUGAUUUUAUGAUUCUAGUUGGAUUAUUGAUUGUUAGUUUUUGUUGGGUUAUAUAAGUGGAUUUUGAUUUCAUGAUUCUGGUUGGGUUAUUGAUUGUUGGUUUCUGUUGGGUUAUAUGCCGUGGGUUGGAUUUCAUGCUUCUGGUUGGGUUAUUGUUUGUGGGUUUCUGUUGGGUUAUAUGUCGUGGGUUGGAUUAUGGUUGGGUUAUUGUUUGCUUGUUGUGUGUUUAUGAUUUGUUGGGGGGUUGUAUUAUCUUUUCUGGGUUUUGUUUUAGGGUGGUUUGGCAUUGUUCUAAUGAACUGUGUUUACUUUGAUUAAUGUUUUUGGUUGCUGGGAUUGACUAUGACAUUAUUUUAUAUCAUAUUGGAUUGUUGAAUUGAUCUUGGUUUUUUUAUAAAAAUUGAAUAUCGUUACAACAUAAAUAUAUGGGAAUAAAGAGGAUUAUUGUUGAAAGUGUGAUUGUUUGCUAUUAAUAGAAGACCUUCAACAUGCAGUAUCAUCUUCAAGAAUUGGUGUUCUGUUUUCUGAAGUUAUGAAGUUGCUGAUUUUAGUUGUUAAUAGACUAGGUAAUGAAGUGGCAGAUACACUAGCUAGACAUGCUUAGAAUGUUGAAACAAUUGAGAUGUGGUGGGAUUGUUUUCAUAUUUAGAUUGACGUUUGAUUGUUUUAUACAUCUCUACACUUUCUCCCGAUUGAGAUUUGUUUCAAGUUUUAUUCUUAUUUGAGCUAUAUAAUUAUGGUUGGGUUAUUGUUUGUGGGUUUCUGUUGUGGGGUUGUUAUUAUCAUAUUGGAUUGGUUGGGUUACUGAUGAAUGCUUGUGUUUAUGAUUGGUUGGGGGGUUGUUAUUAUCUUUUAUGGGUUUUGUUUGAGGGUGGUUUGGCAUUGUUAUUGUCCAAGAAGUCAUUCGAUUGUUUUAUGGGGGUUCAUCUUAGAAUGUCAUCAUCAUCCUCAUCAAUAUAUUCUUCAUCUUUUUCCAAACGUAUUUUGGGACAAACAUUGUGCUUCUGCGAGCUUGAAGCCACUUUGAAAUGGUUUACAACUGCAAAAAAUCCCAGACGACCGUUUUUGGGAUGUUCAAAAUACAAUAUCCAGGCUUACCAUACUAUAAGUUUUUCAAGUGGUUGAAUGGUAAUGAAGUGACUGAGCCACAAGUUCAAGAGAGGGCCAACGAACUGUUAAUGAAAGAGAAAGAGGUUGAGAAAAUACUCGAGCAUCUCGAGAAGAGAGAGAUGGAGCUGCGUAAGAUAGUAGAUCGCCUCGAGAGAGUGAAGAUCGUACUAACCAAAAAAUCGACGAGGAUAUGCAAAAGGAGUUGGUGCAUGCAGCACAAGAAGCUAAAAUAAGGCGUUUAGCUUCCAUACUUCAGAUUUAUUGUUGUUUUGCCUUUGUACAUGCAUGUUACCUAAUGUUAUAUAAGUAAUUUGGGAUUUAUAGUUCUUAGUUCAUUGUUAGCUCAAAUAGUGAUGUGCAUUUGUAUUAUUUUCUGGUAUUGGCUCAGUUUGGAAUUUUAGUUACUAAUGCUAUGUUUAUAGUUAUUUGGUGGAA